AUUGAACGCUGGCGGCAGGCCUAACACAUGCAAGUCGAACGAGUGGCGGACGGGUGAGUAAUGUCUGGGAAACUGCCUGAUGGAGGGGGAUAACUACUGGAAACGGUAGCUAAUACCGCAUACCAUCGGAUGUGCCCAGAGGGGAUUAGCUAGUUGGUGGGGUAACGGCUCACCUAGGCGACGGUCCCGAGCUGGUCUGAGAGGAUGACGAGCCAGACUGGAACCGAGACAAGGGCCAGACUCCUACGGGAGGCAGCAGUGGGGAAUAUUGCACAAAGGGCGCAAGCCUGAUGCAGCCAUGCCGCGUGUAUGAAGAAGGCCUUCGGGUUGUAAAGUACUUUCAGCGGGGAGGCGUUACCCGCAGAAGAAGCACCGGCUAACUCCGUGCCAGCAGCCGCGGUAAUUC
rnacentral:rRNA from 1 species